rnacentral:rRNA from 1 species
UCCCAGACUCCUACGGGAGGCAGCAGUGGGGGAUAUUGCACAAUGGGGGAAACCCUGAUGCAGCGACGCCGCGUGGGUGAAGAAGCGCCUCGGCGCGUAAAGCCCUGUCAGCAGGGAAGAAAAUGACGGUACCUGAAGAAGAAGCCCCAGCUAACUACGUGCCAGCAGCCGCGGUAAUACGUAGGGGGCAAGCGUUAUCCGGAAUUAUUGGGCGUAAAGGGUGCGUAGAUGGCAUAGUAAGUCUUUUGUAAAAAUGCUGGGCUCAACCCAGUAGGGCAAAAGAUACUGCAAAGCUAGAGUAUGACAGAGGCAAGUGGAACUACAUGUGUAGCGGUAAAAUGCGUAGAUAUAUGGAAGAACACCAGUGGCGAAAGCGGCUCUCUGGUCUGUAACUGACGCUGAGGUUCGAAAGCGUGGGUAGCAAACAGGAUUAGAUACCCGAGUAU